UGGGGAAUAUUGGACAAUGGGCGGAAGCCUGAUCCAGCAACGCCGCGUGAGGGAUGACGGCCUUCGGGUUGUAAACCUCUUUCAGUACCGACGAAGCGAAAGUGACGGUAGGUACAGAAGAAGGACCGGCCAACUACGUGCCAGCAGCCGCGGUAAUACGUAGGGUCCGAGCGUUGUCCGGAAUUAUUGGGCGUAAAGGGCUCGUAGGCGGUUUGUCGCGUCGGGAGUGAAAACAGCGGGCUUAACUCGUUGCUUGCUUUCGAUACGGGCAGACUAGAGGUAUGCAGGGGAGAAUGGAAUUCCUGGUGUAGCGGUGAAAUGCGCAGAUAUCAGGAGGAACACCGGUGGCGAAGGCGGUUCUCUGGGCAUUACCUGACGCUGAGGAGCGAAAGUGUGGGGAGCGAACAGGAUUAGAUACCCUGGUAGUCCACACCGUAAACGUUGGCGCUAGGUGUGGGGUCCUUUCCACGGAUUCCGUGCCGUAGCUAACGCAUUAAGCGCCCCGCCUGGGGAGUACGGCCGCAAGGCUAAAAACUU
rnacentral:rRNA from 1 species